AUGGGGAAGGGCCGCCCCCUCCCGGCCACCACCACCUCCGCCGCCGGCUGCGCCGCCGCCGCCACGGACACGGGAUACGCCCCCGUGCCCGAGGCGCCCGUCUUCCGCCCGACGGAGGAGGAGUUCGCGGACCCGCUGGCGUACGUCGCGCGGAUCCGCCCCGCUGCCGAGCCCUACGGCGUCUGCCGCAUCGUGCCGCCGCCGUCCUGGUCGCCGCCGGGGGCGCUCGACGCGUCCGCCCUCAACUUCCCCGCCAAGCGGCAGCCCAUCCACCGCCUCCUGGCCCGCCCGGCCCCCGCCGACCGGGACACCUUCCUCCUCGACUACACCCGGUUCCUCCGCGCCAGGGCCGACGCCGGGCCGCCGCGCCGGGGCCGCAAGCGGACCGCGCCCCCCAAGCCGCCCGCCCUCUCCGACGGCCGCCCGCUCGACCUCUGCCGCCUCUUCCACGCCGUCAAGCGCUUCGGCGGCUACGACGGCGCCUGCGAGGGCCGGCGCUGGGACGACGUCGUCCGGCUCGUCGACGACAAGGCGCCGCCCCGGCACGUGCCCGAGUGCGCCAAGCACGUGCUCGCGCAGCUAUACUACGAGCAUCUCUACGACUACGAGAAGUUCACCAACGGCAGAUCUGCGUCGGCGCAGGGCGGGAAGCAGGCCGAUGCAAAGGUCGAGCUUGACAACCAGCCGUCGGUUUCUGGUUCUGGAGGAGAGAUGGAUGAGGAGGAGGCUUCCGGCGUUAGCAGCAGCAGCGGCCGGAAGAGGAGAAAUCAGAAGGCCGCCGGACUGGCUUCUAACGAGCGCCAUGGCAACGGCAGCGGCUCUCCCGGGAAAAAUGCAGGGUCUCCUGGAUCUCGCAAGCCCAAGAAGAGAAAGCUUGAUGCAGAGGUCAGCCAAGACGAUCAGGUCUGCGAGCGGUGUGACAGUGGCUUGCAUGGGGACGCCAUGCUGCUGUGCGACCGCUGUGAUAAAGGGUGGCAUAUGUACUGUUUAUCACCUCCGCUCGAGAGCGUGCCUCCGGGGAACUGGUACUGCUCGGACUGCAAGAACCCUGACAGCGAUUGUUUCGGAUUCGUCGAAAGGAGGAACACCUGUCAGCUUGAUGCUUUCAAGCGAUUUGAUGACAAGGUGAGAAGGAAGUGGUUUGGGCCAAGGCCUCCUAGCCGUGUUCAGGUCGAGAAGCUCUUCUGGGAGAUUGUGGAGGGCAAGGCAGGGGAGCUGGAGGUUAUGUAUGGGAGUGACAUUGACACUUCGGAUUACGGAAGUGGGUUUCCUCGCCUUGGCGAUCCGGUGCCUGCAUCAGUGGAUCCAGAGACGUGGCACAAGUACUGCUCCAGCCCUUGGAAUCUCAACAAUUUUCCCAACCUGCCAGGUUCAGUUCUUCGGACCGUCAAGGAUAAAAUUCCUGGUGUAAUGGUCCCAUGGCUCUACAUGGGGAUGCUGUUUUCAUCAUUUUGUUGGCAUGUUGAGGACCAUUGCUUUUAUUCAAUUAAUUAUUUACAUUGGGGCGAGCCAAAAUGUUGGUAUGGGGUACCUGGAGCGGAGGCAAAUGCUUUUGAGCGGGUUAUGCGCAAGGCUUUACCUGAUCUAUUUGAUGCACAACCAGACCUACUAUUUCACCUCGUCACGAUGCUGAAUCCGUCGGUUUUACAAGCAAAUGGUGUUCCUGUUUACAGUGUCAUGCAGGAGCCUGGCAACUUCGUGAUUACUUUUCCAAGGUCUUACCAUGGUGGUUUCAAUUUAGGUUUAAAUUGCGCCGAGGCUGUUAAUUUUGCUCCUGCUGACUGGCUGCCUCAUGGUGGAAUUGGAGCUGAACUGUACCGUAUGUACCGAAAGGCACCUGUUUUGUCCCAUGAAGAGCUUUUGUAUGUGGUUGCAAAGAACGGUGUGGACAAUAAAUCAGUUGCGUACUUAAAAGAAGAAGUUGAGAGGGUAUUUGUUAAAGAGAAAAAAUGUCGAGAGGAGCUAUGGAUUAAUGGGAUUAUCAAAUCCAGUCCAAUGCAACCAAGGAGUAACCCAAACUUUAUUGGAAAUGAAGAGGAUAAGAAGUGCAUCAUAUGCCAACAGUACCUGUAUCUAUCAGCAGUUUCCUGUAGCUGUAGGACUUCUCAUGUUUGCCUUGAGCACUGGAAGCACCUUUGUGAAUGCAGUCCAGAGAAGCGUCGCUUACUUUACCGCCACACCCUUGCAGAGUUGGGUGAUUUAGCUUCCGAGGUCAAGGCUAGUCUCUCAGGGGAGAAUGUUAAGCAGAGCCCCUUGUUGCUUAAUGACAUCCCCACGCCAUCUAAAAAGGGCAAAGAUCAGCAUAUGUCAUAUGCACAACUUGCUAAGGACUGGCUUUCAAAAUCUGAUCAUAUUCUCCAUAUGCCAUUCUUGGAUACUGCAUAUUCCACUGCCUUGGAAGCUGCUGAACAAUUUCUGUGGGGUGACCAUGACAUGGACGCCGUCCGAAACAUGGCACUAAAAUUAACCGAGGCUAAAAAAUGGGGUCUGAGUAUUAGAAAUUGCCUUUCCAAAAUCGAUGAAUGUUUGCUUCGUAAAGACAAGUGUUCUGAGAAAGUAAAGUAUGUGGAUAUCGAAGAAUUAAUUGCUGUGAGAUGUGAAUCAUCCUGUGAACCUGGUCUUGCACAGCUGCAGGACUAUGCAGAGAAAGGAAAAAUGCUGAUUAGUGAAAUAAACAUUGCAUUAUCAUCCUGCUCGACGGUUGACCACUUGGAAGCACUGUACUCUCGGGCUUCUGAAUUACCUGUCGAGCUAACUGAAACAUCAAUGUUGUCUUGUGAGAUUUCUUCUGCAAAGUCUUGGUUGAAGAAAGCACGUGAUUUACUUGAAGAGGAUAAACUGGGCGUCAUUGACAUAGAUUGCCUGAAUACUCUGAAAUUAGAGAUGGUACAACUUCGAGCUCUAGUUCCAGAAGUUGAUCUUGUUUCAAAACUGUGGAAAGAAGCUGAAUCAUUGAGAAUGCAGUGUCAAUCAUAUCUCCAAGACUCGCCUGGUCUAAAGGAACUGGAGAAUUUCCUCCUUGCGUUGGAUGGUACCAAGUUCAACAUUCCCGAGCUGAACCUUCUUAAGCAACGGUAUUCAGGUGCUUGCUCCUGGGCAAGUCAUGUUAAUAGCAUACUCACAAAACUUUUUGAAAGGAACGACUACCACAACAUUGUUGAGGAGUUGACAGCCAUUCUAAAGGAUGGCAAAUCACUGAGAGUAAAAGUGGACGAACUGCCAUUUGUUGAAAAAGAAUUAAAGAGGUCCUUUUGCAGGAAGCAAGCAUCUGAGGCUCUUGCAACACAAAUGUCCCUGCAGUUUAUUAAAGAAAUUCUGAUACAAGCCUCCAUAUUAACUAUUGAAGAGGAGCAACCAUUCGUUGGUCUGUCGGAGGUGCUAAAAAAUGCCACUGCUUGGGAAGAGAAGGCUCGACGUAUGCUUGAGCUGUCAGCUUCUCUCUCUGAGUUUGAGGAUCAUAUCCGGUUGUCAGAGGAUAUAAAAGCUAUACUUCCAUCUGAACAAGUUAUGAAAGCAGAGAUUAUUGCUGCUAGGCUGUGGAUGGACAAAUGUCAGGCCUAUCUGAGACCUAGAUGUGAUAAACUUGGAUUUGGAGUUCGUCUUAAAGUUGAUGACUUGAAGGAUAUAGUCUGUCAGCCUGCAACUAUGAAAGUCAUUCUCGACACUUCUGCACUUAAUUCUGUUCUCAGUAAUAUUGAGGAGUGGGAACAGAAUUCACAAAGUCUGCUAAGCAGUUUAAGAACCCUACUGCAUCUGAAUGUGAUCGGCUCUACAGUUGACCCACUUGAAAGAGAUUUGGAGGAGCUGCAAAGUAAAAUUAGUGCAGAAAUAGAAAGUGGAUUAUCUCUUGGUUUUGAGUUAAAGGUUCUUAAUGAAAUGAAAGAUUCUUUGGUGACACUUGGAUGGAUGUUGACAGCACUGUCUUUCUGCUGCAGGAUUCCCUUGUUAGAGGCUGUUGAUCGAGCAAUUGAAGAAGCUGUCCACCUUCCUGCAUCAUUGUCAAGCUGCCCUUUAGCUACAUUGUUGAUGAGCGGAUUAUCUUGGCUAAGGAAAGCACUUGUUUUGCUUCCUGGUUCUGAAAACUCUGUAAAAUAUAGACUGGAAGAUGUCGAAAAUGUUUUGGCAGAACAUCAGGAAAUUGCUGUUCCUUAUUCUAUGAUGACUGCCAAGCUCGAGGAUGCUAUAAACAAACAUAAGUCAUGGACAGAGCAAUGUAAUGCCUUCUUUACAUCGCGUGAUCACCAAUCUUGGACUGAACUACUAAGGCUCAGAGACAGUGGCCGGUCUGUUGCACUUGAUUGUUGUGAAAUGGAUAGGGUUGUUCUCGAUAUUAAAAAGAUUGAUGGGUGGUUCAAUAAGUGCUGCUGUACUCUUUCUCCUGAUGUCACUGAUAAUGGAUCUGUGCUCUCAAUGCUUCUAAAGAUCAGAGGAUCAUUGGACAAUGCUUCUAUGUUUUAUGCUGAGGAUUGUAAGAGGAAAGGGUUCUGUGUCAUCUGUUCAUGUGACGUGGGAGAUGAUGUAGCCUCCAGAUGUUUAAUAUGUCAAGACUGGUACCACAGCUCUUGUGUGGAACCACUGCUUGCUUCUAAACGAACAACCACUGAAUAUAUUUGUCCAUUUUGCUUCUGUUUAGAAAGCGGGGAUCCAUUAGAGAAAGGAAUACAAGAGAAGAUCUCUAAAGGGAACCGUCCUGCUCUUAGUGCACUUAGUGAACUCCUCAGUUGUACAAAGGGUUUCUACACAGGAAUUGAGGAGUUGGAUUUGUUGGAAGAAAUUAUCAAGAAGGGUAGUGACUUUAAGUUCUCUUUGGUGCAAAUUUUGCAUGACGCGGAUUCUUGCAACGGAAAUGAUCUUAGUGUGAUGUGCAAACCUCUUCUGGUUGCUCUAAAGGCAACAUCAGCUGCUGGCUUAUAUGAUCAGCAAAUCAUCGGUAACAUUGAGUUGGUAUUGAGCAGAUAUAUAUGGAAGAAACGAAUUCAUAAAAUCUUGUAUGGUGGAAAAAAGACAUCGAUCCAACACGUGAUGCGCCUUGAUAAAGAGGGUUCAAAUUUAGAGAUAUCUGGUGAAGAUUUCUUCAAGUCACAGAUUGGUGAAAUAAAGGAAACCAGUCAGCAGUGGCUAGCCAAAGCAGGAAAGGCCGCGUUUGAUUGUGGUGAGCUUCCACUUGAUCUUGUAUAUGAGCUUAUUGUUCAAGGGGAGAAUCUAUCUGUACAUGUCGAGAAGGAACUGAAGUUACUCAGAGAUCGGAGCAUUCUUUAUUGCAUUUGCCGCAAACCAUAUGAUAACAGGGCCAUGAUAGCAUGCGAUCAGUGUGACGAGUGGUAUCAUUUUGAUUGCAUCAACUUGUGUGGCCCCCCUCCAAAAACAUUCUAUUGUCCUGCUUGCAGUCCUAAUAAUGGCGAAGGGUUUAUAUCGCUCCCCCGGUCAGCAGCCAGGGAGGAGGAUAGAUCAAGCGCCGAAGCAGGACCUCACACCCCUCCAGCAUCUGGUGACGAACCAGAAACUGUGGAGGAUGAUAAUAAGUGUAUCAGCAACACGCGGGAGAAAUCCCAGGUUAGGCUAGAUUUGGUAAAGCUUCUGCGACAAGAUAGCGAAAUAGACAACACGUGGAAGGACAGCAAAAGGGUUCCCCACAGAACAGCCAGAAGACGCAGCGAUUUCAUGGGAUAUUCCCAAGACAUUUCUUCCCCUUUUAAAGGCCCUGAUUUGUAG
rnacentral:rRNA from 1 species